UACGUAGGGCGCAAGCGUUAUCCGGAAUUAUUGGGCGUAAAGAGCUCGUAGGCGGUUUGUCGCGUCUGCCGUGAAAGUCCGGGGCUCAACUCCGGAUCUGCGGUGGGUACGGGCAGACUAGAGUGCGGUAGGGGAGAUUGGAAUUCCUGGUGUAGCGGUGGAAUGCGCAGAUAUCAGGAGGAACACCAACGGCGAAAGCACUCUGCUGGGCCGACACUGACACUGAGAGACGAAAGCUAGGGGAGCGAAUGGG
rnacentral:rRNA from 1 species